rnacentral:rRNA from 1 species
AUUGAACGCUGGCGGCAGGCCUAACACAUGCAAGUCGAACGAGUGGCGGACGGGUGAGUAAUGUCUGGGAAACUGCCCGAUGGAGGGGGAUAACUACUGGAAACGGUAGCUAAUACCGCAUACCAUCGGAUUUGCCCAGAUGGGAUUAGCUAGUGGGUGGGGUAACGGCUCACCUAGGCGACGAUCCCUAGCUGGUCUGAGAGGAUGACCAGCCACACUGGGACUGAGACACGGCCCAGACUCCUACGGGAGGCAGCAGUGGGGAAUAUUGCACAAUGGGCGCAAGCCUGAUGGAGCAAUGCCGCGUGUAUGAAGAAGGCUUUCGGGUUGUAAAGCACUUUCAUCGGGGAGGCGUUAUCUACCGAGGAAGCCCCGGCUAACUCCGUGCCAGCAGCCGCGGUAAUUC